rnacentral:rRNA from 1 species
UUUUUGAAAAUAAUAUAAAGUCUAACCUGCCCACUGAUAAUUAUUAAAGGGCCGCGGUAUAUUGACUGUGCAAAGGUAGCAUAAUCAUUUGUCUUUUAAUUGAAGGCUAGAAUGAAUGGUUGAAUGAGGUAUUAACUGUCUCAUUUUAAAAAAAAUAAAAAUUUAGCUUUUUAGUCAAAAGGCUGAAAUAAUUUUAGAGGACGAGAAGACCCUAUAGAUCUUUAUAAUAAUAAUUUUAUAAAAAAUAGAAAUUUAAAUAAUUAUAAAAUGAAUUAUUAUUUUGUUGGGGUGACAAAAAAAUUUAUAAAACUUUUUUUAAAUAUAAACAUAAAUUAAUGAAUAAAUGAUCCAAUUAUAUUGAUUAAAAAAUUAAGUUACCUUAGGGAUAACAGCGUAAUUUUUUUGAAGAGUUCAUAUCGAUAAAAAAGAUUGCGACCUCGAUGUUGAAUUAAAGGUUAUUUCUAGAUGCAGAAGUUUAGAGUUUAGGUCUGUUCGACCUUUGAAUCUUU